AUCAUUCCCAUCAGACGGUUAAGCAUUCUGAACAACAUUGUGAAAACCUAAAACUAGAUGGAACGAGGAUAGUUAUCUCUCUCAUAGUUGUCAGCUUUGUUGGCGGUUAUCCUUUAUCAACCUAAUUUAAAGGUACACAAUUUCUUCAUUCAUUCUUUGUUAUUGAUGAUAUGCUAUAACUUGUAUCUAGUGAUACAUGGCUAAAUUCUAAAUCUUUUAUCAGGUUAAACAUGUUUUGUUUUGGUUCUAUAAAUAUUCCAACCUAAAACAAAUAAAAAAGAACUUUCUACCCUUAUUUAAAAUAAAUCUUUUUUUGUUGCAUAAUAAAACAAAGGGUUAAUAGUGCUUUACACCCCUAUUAUAUAGGUCAUUUUCGGGUUUGACCCCUGUAAAAAUUUUGUUUUGGUUUUUGUCCUUGUAAAAUUAUUUUUUUUCCAGAAUACCCCCCUAAUAGGCCAUUCAAAAACCAAAAUUUCUGAGAAAAAAAAAAAAUCUGAAAUGGCCUAUAUUUACAAGGACGUAAACCAAAACAAAAAUUUUAAAGGGGCCAAACCCAAAAAUGACAUAUAUUAGAGAGAGUUAAAACCCUAUUAACCCUAAAACAAAUCUAUUACUAUCGGGUUAAACUUGUUUUGGUCCCUAUAAAUAUUUCAACUUUUUAUUUUAAAUAUGUUUUUUGCCAGAUAAAAUGAAAAAAUAUUUAAUAGAAACACGUAAUGUAUUUUUUAAGGAAAUACGGUAAUAUUAAUAUUUUGAAGAUAGUCAUAAGUUUUUAAAAUUUUAUCAUAUUAAAUUUCUUAUAUCGAUACAUAAAAAAAAAUCUUCAGCAGAUAUAGCACAUAAAAUUUGUGACGGAUACAUGCAAAUAUUUAACAGUGUUUUACAUAUAAUUAAAAAAAUUAUUCAACAGGUCCCCGUGAGCAUAGCUCAGUUGGUGGGAGGGACAUUCAUUGUUAUAUGCAAAGGCAGGGGCUCGAAUCCCGGAGACCCCACUUAUUC
rnacentral:lncRNA from 1 species